rnacentral:rRNA from 1 species
GAUGAACGCUGGCGGCGUGCCUAAUACAUGCAAGUCGAGCGGACAGACCCUGCUUUUGCUGGUCGGUCGUUAGCCGAGCAGGUGUGUAACACGCGUGUAUCACGUCCCUGUCUGACGGAGAUCUCUUCGGGACACGGGCUCUAACACCGGAGAAUCUCCUGAAGCGUGUGGGGGGAUGGAAAGUUACGGUGUUUUCGGCGGUUGGGGAGGGAUCCGCGCUUCAUCAGCUGGUUGGUGGGGUAACGGCUUUUCAAGGGUAUGAUGGGUAGCAGGCCUGAGAGGGGGACCGGCCACAUUGGGACUAAGAUACGGCCCAGACUCCUACGGGAGGCAGAAGGGGGGAAUAUUGCAAAAUGGGCGGAAGCCUGAUGCAGCAACGCCGCGUGCGGGAUGACGGCCUUCGGGUUGUAAACCGCUUUCGCCUGUGACGAAGCGUGAGUGACGGUAAUGGGUAAAGAAGCACCGGCUAACUACGUG